UUAGAGUUUGAUCCUGGCUCAGAACGAACGCUGGCGGCGUGGAUAAGACAUGCAAGUCGAACGAGAGAAUUGCUAGCUUGCUAAUAAUUCUCUAGUGGCGCACGGGUGAGUAACACGUGAGUAACCUGCCCCCGAGAGCGGGAUAGCCCUGGGAAACUGGGAUUAAUACCGCAUAGUAUCGAAAGAUUAAAGCAGCAAUGCGCUUGGGGAUGGGCUCGCGGCCUAUUAGUUAGUUGGUGAGGUAACGGCUCACCAAGGCGAUGACGGGUAGCCGGUCUGAGAGGAUGUCCGGCCACACUGGAACUGAGACACGGUCCAGACACCUACGGGUGGCAGCAGUCGAGAAUCAUUCACAAUGGGGGAAACCCUGAUGGUGUGACGCCGCGUGGGGGAAUGAAGGUCUUCGGAUUGUAAACCCCUGUCAUGUGGGAGCAAAUUAAAAAGAUAGUACCACAAGAGGAAGAGACGGCUAACUCUGUGCCAGCAGCCGCGGUAAUACAGAGGUCUCAAGCGUUGUUCGGAAUCACUGGGCGUAAAGCGUGCGUAGGCUGUUUCGUAAGUCGUGUGUGAAAGGCGCGGGCUCAACCCGCGGACGGCACAUGAUACUGCGAGACUAGAGUAAUGGAGGGGGAACCGGAAUUCUCGGUGUAGCAGUGAAAUGCGUAGAUAUCGAGAGGAACACUCGUGGCGAAGGCGGGUUCCUGGACAUUAACUGACGCUGAGGCACGAAGGCCAGGGGAGCGAAAGGGAUUAGAUACCCCUGUAGUCCUGGCAGUAAACGGUGCACGCUUGGUGUGCGGGGAGUCGACCCCCUGCGUGCCGGAGCUAACGCGUUAAGCGUGCCGCCUGGGGAGUACGGUCGCAAGAUUAAAACUCAAAGAAAUUGACGGGGACCCGCACAAGCGGUGGAGUAUGUGGCUUAAUUCGAUGCAACGCGAAGAACCUUACCUGGGCUUGACAUGUAAUGAACAACAUGUGAAAGCAUGCGACUCUUCGGAGGCGUUACACAGGUGCUGCAUGGCCGUCGUCAGCUCGUGUCGUGAGAUGUUUGGUUAAGUCCAGCAACGAGCGCAACCCCUGUUGCCAGUUACCAGCACGUGAAGGUGGGGACUCUGGCGAGACUGCCCAGAUCAACUGGGAGGAAGGUGGGGACGACGUCAGGUCAGUAUGGCCCUUAUGCCCAGGGCUGCACACGUACUACAAUGCCCAGUACAGAGGGGGCCGAAGCCGCGAGGCGGAGGAAAUCCUGAAAACUGGGCCCAGUUCGGACUGUAGGCUGCAACCCGCCUACACGAAGCCGGAAUCGCUAGUAAUGGCGCAUCAGCUACGGCGCCGUGAAUACGUUCCCGGGUCUUGCACUCACCGCCCGUCA
rnacentral:rRNA from 1 species